GCCCGGGUGGUGGAAUUGGUAGACACGUUGGACUUAAAAUCCAAUGGACAUUAGUCCGUGCGGGUUCAAGUCCCGCCCCGGGUA
rnacentral:tRNA from 1 species